UACAGAGGUGGCAAGCGUUGUUCGGAAUUACUGGGCGUAAAGGGCGCGUAGGCGGUUCGUUAAGUCCUGUGUGAAAUCCCCCGGCUCAACUGGGGAACGGCACAGGAAACUAGCGGGCUUGAGUUCGGGAGAGGGAAGCGGAAUUCCGGGUGUAGCGGUGAAAUGCGUUGAUAUCAGAAGGAACGCCGGUGGCGAAAGCGGCGGACUGGAUCUUUUCUGACGCUGAGGCGCGAAAGCUAGGGGAGCAAACGGG
rnacentral:rRNA from 1 species